rfam:Triticum aestivum genome assembly, contig: Triticum_aestivum_CS42_TGACv1_scaffold_049437_1BS
UAAGUAUUCCCACCGUCCGGAAAUACUUGUCGGAGAAAUGCAUAAAAAUGAAUGUAUGUAGAACUAAAAUAUAUUUAAAUACAUCCAUUCUUCCGACGAGUAUUUUCGGACGGAGGGAGUAUGUU